AACCUCCGCAAUGUGAGAAAUCGCGACGGGGGGAUCCCAAGUGCCAUUCUUAACGGGGUGGCUUUUCAUUAGUGUAAAGAGCUUUUGGAAUAAGGGCUGGGCAAGACCGGUGCCAGCCGCCGCGGUAACACCGGCAGCUCUAGUGGUAGCAGUUUUUAUUGGGCCUAAAGCGUCCGUAGCCGGUUUAAUAAGUCUCUGGUGAAAUCCUGUAGCUUAACUGUGGGAAUUGCUGGAGAUACUAUUAGACUUGAGACCGGGAGAGGUUAGAGGUACUCCCAGGGUAGAGGUGAAAUUCUGUAAUCCUGGGAGGACCGCCUGUUGCGAAGGCGUCUAACUGGAACGGUUCUGACGGUGAGGGACGAAAGUUAGGGGCGCGAACCGGAUUAGAUACCCGGGUAGUCCUAGCCGUAAACGAUGCGGACUUGGUGUUGGGGUGGCUUUGAGCUGCUCCAGUGCCGAAGGGAAGCUGUUAAGUCCGCCGCCUGGGAAGUACGGUCGCAAGACUGAAACUUAAAGGAAUU
rnacentral:rRNA from 1 species